AGCUACUGAUAUAUAUAUAUAUAUAUAUAUAUAUAUAUAUAUAUAUAUAUAUAUGUAUGUAUUCCAGUAGCAUC